UACGGGGGGCAAGCGUUGUUCGGAAUUACUGGGCGUAAAGGGCUUGUAGGUGGCCAACUAAGUCAGACGUGAAAUCCCUCGGCUUAACCGGGGAACUGCGUCUGAUACUGGAUGGCUUGAGUGUGGGAGAGGGAUGCGGAAUUCCAGGUGUAGCGGUGAAAUGCGUAGAUAUCUGGAGGAAUACCGGUGGCGAAGGCGGCAUCCUGGACCGACAUUGACGCUGAACGGCGAAAGCUAGGGAG
rnacentral:rRNA from 1 species